AUCAUUAUUGAAACUUCUUUGGAAAUAGUACUGUUGCUGGCCUUGUAAUGAGGUAUGUGCACGUCUAUUACCAAUCUAUUCAUCCACCUGUGCACUUUUUGUAGGAGUUCAUUUGAGGCUAUUUUGUACUUGUGCAAUUUGGCUUUGAAAGGCUUCUAUGUUCUUAUAAACCCAUUAGUAUGUCUCUGAAUGUUUUUUAUUGGGACUUGAUUGGCCCUUUAAACUUGUACAACUUUUAGCAACGGAUCUCUUGGCUCUCCCAUCGAUGAAGAACGCAGCGAAAUGCGAUAAGUAAUGUGAAUUGCAGAAUUCAGUGAAUCAUCGAAUCUUUGAACGCACCUUGCGCCCUCUGGUAUUCCGGAGGGCAUGCCUGUUUGAGUGUCAUUAAAUUCUCAACUUCAAUAGCUUUUACUAGCUUAUUGAUGCUUGGAUGUGGGAGCUUGCUGGCGUCUUAGAUGUUCGGCUCUCCUUAAAGUUAUUAGUGGAAACCUUUUUGUUGGGUUAUUCCUGGUGUGAUAAUUAUCUACGCUUUGAAUAAUCUAAUGUUCCAUUGGGACUUGAGAUUUCUCAGUAGAAAUACUGGUCUGGGUAUUGCAAUUAAUUUUGCUG
rnacentral:rRNA from 1 species